rnacentral:snoRNA from 1 species
CAUCUCGACGAUGAUGAUCUGAUCUCCUACAUCCUCACCGGCCUUGACUUCGACUACAAUUCAGUGGUAUCCUCGGUACCCAUGAUAGUGGGUGAUCUGUACGCGCAACUGAUGAGCUUUGACC